rnacentral:rRNA from 1 species
GACGAACGCUGGCGGCGUGCUUAACACAUGCAAGUCGAACGGAAAGGCCCUGCUUUUGUGGGGUGCUCGAGUGGCGAAAGGGUGAGUAACACGUGAGUAACCUGCCCUUGACUUUGGGAUCACUUCAGGAAACUGGGGCUAAUACCGGAUAGGAGCUCCUGCUGCAUGGUGGGGGUUGGAAAGUUUCGGCGGUUGGGGAUGGACUCGCGUCUUAUCAUCUUGUUGGUGUGGUAGUGGCUUACCAAGGCUUUGACGGGUAGCCGGCCUGAGAGGGGGACCGGCCACAGUGGGACUGAGAUACGGCCCAGACUCAUACGGGAGGCAGCAGUGGGGAAUAUUGCACAAUGGGCGGAAGCCUGAUGCAGCAACGCCGCGUGCGGGAUGACGGCCUUCGGGUUGUAAACCGCUUUCGCCUGUGACGAAGCGUGAGUGACGGUAAUGGGUAAAGAAGAACCGGCUAACUAAGUG